rnacentral:lncRNA from 1 species
GGAGGGAGGGGCGGGAGCGGCCUCCCGCGCACGUGCCGGCCCAUACGUGUCGGACGCUCAGGGCGCCUCGGCGCGUGCGGCGGCCCGGCUGUCGUUCCGACAGGAGGGAUACACGGGCAAAGCGUUCACACCCGAGACCCGGAGUCUUGCCUUAAAAAAAAAAAAAAACGAGACCCGGAGUCCACCCGAGGAAGGAACGGUAGACUUCCGAAACUGAACGGUCAGUUGCAAGUAACGGCGCCGGUCGACAGGCGCGGGUUUAGGCCGGUCGCCUGCCGGACCCUGCGAUCUGGAUAUGAAUAACCGUCCGAUUGCGAAAGAAAAGCAGAAAAAGAAUCCGCGGAAAAAAAAGCAAAAAGGUAAGAAAAAAAGUCAACUCUUACCCGUGCCUGUGGUUUCUCCCUCAUGGAGCGGAUGUUGUCAUCGCUCGUAGAUCCGUCGCGGCGUCAUGACAGCGUCGUGCUCGGGGCACACCACACCUCGGCCGCUCGCGCGCGGCAAGAUUGUCCGACGGUUGCCGCUUCUGCUCUCACUAGUCGAAGCUUUUUCGAUCGUCAAUUGCAACUUUCUUCCUCCUUCGGACGCCACGGUUGUUCCAUCACGGCAUGAUGCCGGACACAACACCGUUGCCGGCACCACGGUCCACCGGUUGCAUCAGUCGUUGGGGUCUGAUUGCGGCUUCCCGUCGCAGACACUAGCGCUCUCCGUUUGCGCAUCGUGCUCUUGUCAUGGAGAGCAGUAGCGGAUGCAACCAAGAGAGAGAAUCGAGGGAGGGGCGAUGGCUCGUUGGUUGGCUUCGUAGGGCUCAUCGGGGGUGAAGAUGGCGAGGG